rnacentral:rRNA from 1 species
GAUGAACGCUGGCGGCGUGCCUAAUACAUGCAAGUCGAGCGAACAGACGAGAGUGCUUGCACUCUCUGACGUUAGCGGCGGACGGGUGAGGAACACGUGGGUAACCUACCUAUAAGACUGGGAUAACUUCGGGAAACCGGAGCUAAUACCGGAUAAUAUUUAGCUUCGCAUGAAGCAAUAGUGAAAGACGGUUCUGCUGUCACUUAUAGAUGGACCCGCGGUGUAUUAGCUAGUUGGUGAGGUAACGGCUCACCAAGGCAACGAUACAUAGCCGACCUGAGAGGGUGAUCGGCCACACUGGGACUGAGACACGGACCAGACUCCUACGGGAGGCAGCAGUAGGGAAUCUUCCGCAAUGGACGAAAGUCUGACGGAGCAAUGCCGCGUGAGUGAAGAAGGUUUUCGGAUCGUAAAACUCUGUUGUAAGGGAAGAACAAGUACGUUAGUAACUGAACGUACCUUGACGGUACCUUACCAGAAAGCCACGGCUAACUACGUG